CGCGUAGGCGGCUUUUUAAGUGAGGCGUGAAAGCCCUGGGCUUAACCCAGGAGGUGCGUUUCAUACUGAAAAGCUUGAGUACGAGAGAGGAAAGUGGAAUUCCUAGUGUAGAGGUGAAAUUCGUAGAUAUUAGGAAGAACACCGGUGGCGAAGGCGGCUUUCUGGCUCGUAACUGACGCUGAGGCGCGAAAGCGUGGGGAGCAAACA
rnacentral:rRNA from 1 species